CUGCCAUCUCCACACGAUGUUAAAUCCUACGUUUUUUACCAGUUCCCUGUUGCCAAACGAAAUAUUGGAAACCCAUUUAGGUGUAUUAAAGGCAGUAAUGAAAACAUCGCUUGUUUUAUUUGCUUUGAUGUUGUUGUAGUUGACGUUUGUCGUUACUGUGAAUUUUUUAUAGAAAUUAUAGGUGAUACCCAGUGAUGUGCCAUAAUUUUUAUACUGGUUCUUUGCGUUAGUAAACACCCUGUAACGAACUUGUUUGCUCCUGUUAGCCGCCA
rnacentral:misc_RNA from 1 species